GCAUCAACCAAGUCAGCGAGCCUGACCACCCGAUCCCGUUAGUCGCCUCUUACGACAAGCAUAGUCACCUUUGACGGCAAGCAUGGGUUGCUGAAGACCUAUUCUACCCCGGAUCUUCACGGGUGUGGAACUCGGUAUACAGGAUCAGGGUGUUGUAACACAGGCACCUUGAGGUGGAUGCAGUGUGUGUGAGUGUCUGAUAUGUGUCACAUAUGUGUCUGAUGGCUCAGAUAUGUGUCUGAUAUAUGUGUCUGAUAUAUGUGUCAAAUGUGUGUCUCAUGUUUCGGACAUAUAUACUACUCAAAAGAAGUUAAAGAACACCCGGGUUUUUUCAUGUGACCAUAGUUAAUUUGUCAUGUCAUGUCAGAUUAACUAUAAUUAUGUGAAUAAAUCGGGUGUUUGUUAGCUUCUCUUCAGUAGUAUAUGGCCCAGAUAUGUCUUGGAUGUGUGUUAGUUAUAAUAUGUGUCUGAUAUGUCCCAGAUAUGUGUCUGAUAUGUCCCAGGUGUGUCUGAUAUGUGUCUGAUAUGUCCCAGGUGUGUCAGAUAUGUGUCUGAUAUGUCCCAGGUGUGUCUGAUAUGUGUCUGAUAUGUCCCAGGUGUGUCAGAUAUGUGUCUGAUAUGUCCCAGGUGUGUCUGAUAUGUGUCUGAUAUGUCCCAGGUGUGUCAGAUAUGUGUCUGAUAUGUCCCAGGUGUGUCUGAUAUGUGUCUGAUAUGUCCCAGGUGUGUCUGAUAUGUGUCUGAUAUGUCCCAGGUGUGUCAGAUAUGUCCCAGAUAUGUCCCAGAUAUGUGUCUGUUAUGUCCCAGAUAUGUGUCUGAUAUGUAUUCCAGAUAUGUGUCAAAUGUGUCAUAUGUCCCAGAUAUGUCUGAUUUGUCCCAGAUAUGUCAGAUGUGUCAUGUCCCAGAUGUGUCAAAUGUGUCAUAUUCUCAGAUAUGUGUCACAUGUGUCAGAUAUGUGCCAUAUCUGUCAGAUAUGAGUUAUAUGCCCCAUAUAUCUCUCAAAUGUGUGUUAUAUAUACCUUAGAUAUGGCACCUAAGAUAUAUAUCUCACAUGUCUCAUAUAUAUCUCGUAUAUAUCCCACAUAAGUCUCAGAUAUAUCUCAUUUAUAUCCCACAUGUAUCUGAGACAUGUGUAUGUGAGAUCUAUCACAUGUCUCAUAUAUAUCUGACAUGUGUCUCAGUCAUAUAUAUCUGACAUAUCUCUCAGAUAUAUAUCUCAUUUAUAUCUCACAUGUAUCUGAGACAUAUGUGAGAUCUAUCCCUCACAUGUGUCAGAUAUUUCCCAGCUAUGGACCAAGUAUGUCCCAGGCAUGUCUAACCAUUUUUAAACAAGGGCCAUGUUUGUUAUUUUCACCAGCUAGUUGUCACUGUCAAUCAUUGGAAGAUUAUGCAGUGAACUUUGACAUCAUUUAUCUUGUUUUAUGAUAAAAAAAUAAAUAAAAAAGUUAAAUUGUC